UCCCGUUUAGCUCAGCUGGUAGAGCGCGUCACUAGUAUCUCAGCCAGCUUUGCGGCGUUACUUCGCGUGAUGACGAGGUCAGUCGUUCGAGUCGGCUAAUGGGAA